AACACAUUGCAGGUCGAACGGAAACCGAUGGAGGGCUUGCUCUUCAGGCGUCGAGUGGCGGACGGGUGAGUAAUACCUAGGAAUCUACCCUGUAGUUGGGGACAACAUAUGGGGACGUAUGCUAAUACCGAAUAUGAUCUACGGAUUGAAGGCGCCCUCUUCUUGAAAGGCGUCGCUACAGGAUGAGCCUAGGCAAGAUUAGCUAGUUGGUAAGGUAAUGGCUUACCAAGGCAACGAUCUUUAGCUGGUUUGAGAGGAUGAUCAGCCACACUGUGAACUGAGACACGGUCCAGACUCCUACGGGAGGCAGCAGUGGGGAAUAUUGCACAAUGAGCGAAAGCUUGAUGCAGCCAUACCGCGUGUGAAGAAGGCCCGAGGGUUGUAAAGCACUUUCAAUUGUGAGGGAAGGUAGUGUAGUUAAUACCUGCAUUGCUUGACGUUAACUUUAGAAGAAGCACCGGCUAACUCUGUGCCAGCAGCCGCGGUAAUACAGAGGGUGCAAGCGUUAUUCGGAAUU
rnacentral:rRNA from 1 species